UGGUUGUCAAAAAUUGACUAGUGGCCUAGUUCAUAUCAUAUUCCGUCCUUCAUCACAUAAGUUGUUGGAGGUGGGGAUUGGUAUUGAAAUUCCAAACCCACCACCCCAAUAGACAUAAAUAGGAGUUUCUCCUAGCAGCUGACAAAUAAUAGUAAUUAUAAUAAGAAAGAAUUACGCAAAAAAAAAUAGAUUAUAAAAAUAAAUUAAACUCUCUAAUUCGAAUGGUAACAAAUUACAUUUUGUAAUUUUAAUUUAGUAGCAAUUUAAAAUAUCCGUUGGCUAAUAUUACUACCAAACAAAGAUCUUUUGGAUACUUUAAAGUGACGGUUGCCCCCAUCUGCCCUCCUUGCAUCGGGUUCGGCUCACCUUCAAACCCUUAUCUUCCAUAUCCCCCCAUACUCAUCUUGUGGGGUCCCACUUCCGAGUCCAAACUAAUAAUCUGAACCAUUCAUCUUGCAUCUAUGUAAAAAAUUAACUUCAUUUAAUAUCUAUAAACAUAAGAAUAUAUUUUAUUUUAUUUUAUAAAAUGAACGAAUGUUAU
rnacentral:lncRNA from 1 species